GACGGAGGGGGCUAGCGUUGUUCGGAAUGACUGGGCGUAAAGGGCGCGUAGGCGGUUUUUUAAGUGAGGCGUGAAAGCCCUGGGCUUAACCCAGGAAUUGCGUUUCAGACUGGAAGACUUGAGUACGAGAGAGGAAAGUGGAAUUCCUAGUGUAGAGGUGAAAUUCGUAGAUAUUAGGAAGAACACCGGUGGCGAAGGCGGCUUUCUGGCUCGUAACUGACGCUGAGGUGCGAAAGCGUGGGGAGCAAACAGG
rnacentral:rRNA from 1 species